rnacentral:sRNA from 1 species
UGCUACUACACCAGUUGCACGGUUCGGUAUGCUUUUUGUACAGAUAGGUCCCAUGCAUCAUACAUUAUUUAAAAGAAACCUUGAUACGAUGUGUUUUAAACUUAGCCAUCCUACAGACCUACAGUGAAAUUUGCAUUCAAACAUUGUGGAAAAGGUUAGUGUUUGAAUUACUUGUUGUCGACCGUGUUUGAAUCAGCCAAUCAAAUAAUUUAAAAUUGGACUGACGAAAUUGACAAACUAUAAACUAAAAUUAUUGUAUUGAACUCAGAUACGUGAACAAAUAUUGCAACUAAAAUUACAUAUGCAUUCCGUAAAGUUUGUACAUGUUUAUAAUUAUUGCUGAUCUUCUUUAAUACCUAUGGUGCUUGUUUACAUAUACACAUAUAUCUUUAGUAUAAAUAGGAUGUCAACACAAAUUAUGAAUUAAUGCAAAUUUAUGCAUGCAUUUAUUUUCUUGUGUACAAAUAGAGUCGUUAGAGUUCAAAAUAUUUACACUGAACGUUUAGCAGAAUGUCUCGAUCCUUACCCCUUUUAGUUUUUAUAUUGUUAAGUUAUGCUAUUGCAAUUCUCUUUUUACGUUGUUUUGUUUAUAUAAUACGAACUGAUUUGAAGAAAAUCAGAACUUUUUUUUAAAUGUCUCAAAAUAUAAUCAGAAUCGGUAUAUAUUUAUUGUCUCGGCCAGAUCUCAAAAUCUCAAGAUAAUAAUUAUAAUAUUAAUAUUUAUGCAUUCUUUUUAUAUAACACUUUGUUUAACUGGUUUUUUUUUUAAAUUUAUGUUUAUUAUUUAAUUAAAAGAAUUAAGGCUGCACUUAUCAUCAUAAGGGGAAUACUCGUAUAUAUAUGGGAGGUAUUACGCGCACUUGCCUAUUGAGUUGUUCAUUAGAUUGCAGCUCUAUAUCAUUGCGAGAUGUCAUCCUUUGGAUUUGAGCUGAAUUAAUAGUUUGUAUUGUUCUGUACAUGUAUUAUGAUAAUACUAUAGUAAUCGUGUUUUCACUUCAUUUUUUUUUUUACAAAAUUACUUAUACUAGCAUGUCAAUACAGAGAUAAGGUUGUUGUCUAUAAACAAAACUAUUGUUAACAUUUUUUUAAAACAUUUUUUUUUUCAUUUUCCUCAUGUAUUUAUAUUCUGACUUUUAAUUGAUUGAUAAACUUGUCAUAUACCAACGAACAAACCUUACUGUACUGUUUUACUUGUACCAUCAUUUAUCUUUUAAUUCUUUAGACAAAGCGAGUGUUUAUUUAUUCAGUGAGGUUGGAAGUAAGUGAGCAGUAGUUUAUGUUUUAUUAUUUCAUGAAUUCCGUGUGUUUUAUGAGUUAUCGUUGCUGACUCACCAUGAAUUUCGCUGAAUCAUUAUUUCUGUAUAUAUACAACAGCUAUCUUUUGAUGUAUAAAAAACCGGAUCCGUAAUCAGAUGACAGAUGUUUGUGAAUGAAUGUUUAUAUUGUUUUCAGGGCACAAAGAUUUGUUGGCAUUAAAAUGUUAUCAAUUU